UUUCCGUAGGUGAACCUGCGGAAGGAUCAUUACAAAUCCACAAGUCACCCUAACCCGGUCGACAACCACGUUGAACCCCCCCCCCUCAGGCCCUCGGCGGCGGACCCUGGGACGCGCGCCUGCGUGUGUCCCCGGUGUGAAGCCUCGAGGCGCCCCUAUUUGACCCCUUAUGGCUGACACAAACAACCACGAAUGUACCAACACAACAACAACAACCUAGAAACAACUUAUAACAAUGGAUCUCUAGGCUCUU
rnacentral:misc_RNA from 1 species